UCCUGAUUAGCUCAGUUGGCAAAGAAUCCACCUGCAAUGCAGGAGACCCAGGUUUGAUUCCUGGGUCGGGAA
rnacentral:tRNA from 1 species